rnacentral:sRNA from 1 species
UGUGGAGCCUUCUUCUGUCGUCGAGAUU